GGGGUUGUGGCUCAGUGGUAGAGCACUUGCCUCACAUGUGUGAAGUCCUGAGUUCGAUCCCCAGUACCA
rnacentral:tRNA from 1 species